ensembl:lncRNA
AAAUAUAUAUAUAGCUUACCAUUCUGAGCAAAGGAGUGAAAUGAUUUCAUAUCGCUGUGCUAGAUGUGAAGUUGAACACUCUAAGAUAAUGUUUCUUAUGACCAUCUAUUACCAAUCUCAUUCUGCUUUCAGAUGCUGACUCAGACCAUGAACAAAACUCAGUGUCUGUUCCAAGAGGGUAAAGAGGAGAAAACCCCAGCUUUGACAGAGGGAGGAGAUAAGAAAUCUGAGAACAACAACAACAGCAACAAAACCCAGAAAAUCCACCAAGAUCUUGGAUUUUUACCUGUAGAAAAUGACAUCGCAGCAGCUAAGGUGCAGCUAAGAUCAAGAUGAGUUUCCUGAGUGAGUUACAAGAAAAAUCCUAGUCCUAAAAUUGUCAGCUUGGGAGUAGUUCAGAAGCAGCGCAACCCAGAAGGAUGCUGGUUACUUCAAGCUUCACGGGGUGAUACAAGGUGGGGAAACGUGGGCUGAUAUUCUGCUUGGGUUUAGGCACUGGCUGAACCCUUUGAAGAACUCUGUCUCUCCCUGGCAGGCUGUUUGGGGUAUGCCUCUUGUGGCAGCAUUAGUGUGUGGCUCAGAAGAUUGAGAGAAGCGCAUGCUGUGGCAUCAGCAGAAGACUGUGCUCUAGCCUCUGAUGAUGUACUCUGAUGCUUGUGGUCAGGAAAUAGCUUCAGAAUGAUGGCAGAUCUCUUCACAGGGGAAUAAGAACAAGGUUUGGCACAUAGUUGCCUCUCUCUCUUUUCUCCUUCUCCAGAGAACCACUGCUGUGCAGUGAUGGGUGUUCACCCUGCUGUUCCUAGAGGGGAAGCAAGAGCAGGAUGAAGUAGGGUCCUCUCUCAUGGUGCUGCAGUUGGAAGGUGCAAAUGUUUUAUAAACACAACUGGAAGAAUGAAAAACAAAUAUCUUCUUCUUUGGAACUAAUUUUUCCACUAACUAAAGCCAGACACAUAUAUAUAAUAUAUAUAAUAUGCACAUACACGUACGCACAUAUAUUGCUCGGAAAUCUUCCUGCACAUUUUUUCUUCCACCUUCAAAAUGUAUUAACC